rnacentral:rRNA from 1 species
GUAAUUGGAAUGAGUACAAUUUAAAUCCCUUAACGAGGAACCAUUGGAGGGCAAGUCUGGUGCCAGCAGCCGCGGUAAUUCCAGCUCCAAUAGCGUAUAUUAAAGUUGUUGCAGUUAAAAAGCUCGUAGUUGAAACUUGGGUCUGGCUAGCGGGUCCGCCUCACCGCGUGCACUUGUCCGGCUGGACCUUUCCUUCUGGAGAACCUCAUGCCCUUCACUGGGUGUGUUGGGGAACCAGGACUUUUACUUUGA